AUUUGUAAGGUCUCUUGUGUUUGAUUGUAUACAUCAGCUGAGACAUGCCUUGUGAGCAUAUUACUCAUUAUACCCAUGUUCAUCAUGUGUAUGGAUGGAGACGUGCGUUGCACGUGCACACUUACUAGUCUGGUGAAACGAGGGAAUUGGAUGCACCGAAUGCACCAGCGGUAUAUGGGCCAUUGGAUGCAAAAAGCACGGACAUGACGAGUUAGAAGGUGGGCCUGAUGGUACAUUUGCAAAAGGAUCCUUGCAGUGUAGUUAAAUCAAGCGAAUUGACCUCCCCCACACUCAGUUCGUCUCUGUCCCCUUCCAUCUCCUAUACCAGCGCAGCCGCCGUCGCCGCCGAGCUAGGGUUAAGGUCCAGCUGAAGAGCUGAUCUCCCUCCCUCGAGAUUUUCACUGAACCCAAUCACCUCUCUCUCCCUCUUCUGUACCACCGUGGCAGGCGAGUUAGGUGGUGGCUCAUUGUGAGUAUGCAUUGGUGACUCAAUCUACUGCCACUGCCGUCUGCAUCAACUCAAGGAUCUUGAUAUAUUUGCUUCGUCCUUUAUCCAUGUGUUAAGGUCAUUUUUGUUCUUACAAUUUCGUCCACACCUUUCCCCCCAAUCUGUUUAAACCAGUGGCCGGGAGAUGAGCAUGAGCAAUUUGUUCUAGUUGACUUAAAAGGCAUGCUUUUGUUGAUUCAGAAUUGGAAUAGUGUCUUGUGAGCACCAAAUUUACAUACAAGCUGCAAGUAGAUUUGUACAAUCUUCAUGUGAAUUACAAGGAGGUCCCUGGAAUGGAUUUUCACAUAGUUGCAACCUCACCGAAGCAAAACCAAAGCAUGUUGUUCUGUUAGAAAACAAAUUUAAUUUUGGAGUUCAGAAACCAAAGCAUGCAACCUCCUUGAAGCGAGACCAAAUCAUAUCAAACAUUACAUCAAUGUGGUCUUUACAGUUUUCUCAUUUCUUGUAUAUAUUCCUUAAACAGGGAAACCAGUAUAGGCCAAAUAAAAUACAUUUGAUGUAUGCCGAGAUAUGCCACUCCUUUACUUAAUGCCUAUUUAAGUAAGUGCUUCUCAGUUUCUCAAAGUUUGGAAUAUGUAGGCUGUGUUGAAAGAUGAAACAAAUGUCGAACCCAAUGUUCAGGCCUCUGUUCUUGAGCAUUUUGAAAAUAUGAAAUGUUGUCCCUUUUCCUGUUUUUGUUUAAAACUUCAGAUGUUGUUCCUUCUCCUGUUAGCAUGUGGCCUUGCUGGUGUGAAUGGUUUAAUAAUGUCUUUAUUGCCGAUUUCUUUAGUCUGGCGAACUUCCUUUGUUAAUGGAGAUGGCUUAUCUUCAGUUUGAGGCAAGAAAUUUGAUUUCAAAGAGUAGUCAACCAACAUCCAGUAAAUCAAAGCCCAAAAUUCCAUUAAUUUGAAUCAAGGUAAAAUAUCAGGAGAAGUCAUUUGCGACAACGAUGGUAUACGAAAAACUGAAAGUUCUCAUAUUGUUCUGCAAGUAGAUUACUCUGGAUUUUGAAGAAUGUUAAGUAGAAAUUAUACUUACAGUGUCCGGCCGAACUUCGUGAAACCAUUACAAGUUCAUCUUCUGAACUUCUUCUGGGAUCUGGAUCCAUACUGUGUACUAUUUAGGUUAGGAGCAGACCAGAGCUCCGUUUCACUUUUCUCAACAGAGUUUCCGUUAUGCAGUCCACUUGAACCUGUCGGGGGAAAGUUGCCGCAUCCAUCUCCGAGAAGUAGGCAAGUUCGUUGUGUAAGCCAGGAGUGUAUGCGGUUGCACACAGAGGUGAUCUGUUUAGUUUUAACAGAGUGCAGUGUAUUUUUUUUAAACUGUUGUGUUUUAAUUCAAAAUAGGCUUAGCACUGCAAACCACUUCUGAACACCUUGGUCUUGAUGUGUACAUUUUUUGUAGUUCAGAUGGGUGGUUGGUAUGUACACUUGCCAAAAAAUAAAAAAGUAUACAGCAUUUUUUGUAGUUCAGAUGGGUGGUUGGUGUACAGCUCAUGUGCAUGCUUGUGAUGCUCCAAUGUAAAUUACAGCGAUGUUCUUGCAUGGAAGCAUCAAAAGAAAUGUGUUCAGAGAUCUUUGGUUCGUUAUAGUACAGAACAUCAUUCGCUACAGUUAUUUAUCAAGUUGUUUCUCUCAUACUUAAUACUCCUAUUAUAGAGUUAUAAUUAUUUUUAUCAAUGAACAAUCAUGCAACAGAUACAUAAAUGAUGGAAGAGCACAGGUGAGAAAACAGGGCACAG